GACGAACGCUGGCGGCAUGCCUAAUACUUGCAAGUCGAGCGAACAGAUGAAGUGCUUGCACUUCUGACGUUAGCGGCGAACGGGUGAGUAACACGUAAGGAAUCUACCUAUAAGCGGGGGAUAACAUUCGAAAACGGGUGCUAAUACCGCAUAAUAUCUUCUUCCGCAUGGAAGAAGAUUGAAAGACGGCUCUGCUGUCACUUAUAGAUGACCUUGCGGUGCAUUAGUUAGUUGGUGGGGUAAUGGCCUACCAAGACGAUGAUGCAUAGCCGACCUGAGAGGGUGAUCGGCCACAUUGGGACUGAGACACGGCCCAAACUCCUACGGGAGGCAGCAGUAGGGAAUCUUCCGCAAUGGGCGAAAGCCUGACGGAGCAAUGCCGCGUGAGUGAAGAAGGCCUUCGGGUCGUAAAACUCUGUUAUAAGAGAAGAACAAAUUGUAGAGUAACUGCUACAGUCUUGACGGUAUCUUAUCAGAAAGCCACGGCUAACUACGUGCCAGCCGCCGCAGUAA
rnacentral:rRNA from 1 species